UACGUAGGGGGCAAGCGUUGUCCGGAUUUAUUGGGUUUAAAGGGUGCGUAGGCGGUCUAUUAAGUCAGUGGUGAAAUACCCCGGCUUAACCGGGAGGGUGGCAUUGAUACUGAUGGACUUGAGUAAAGUUGAGGUUGGCGGAAUUGACGGUGUAGCGGUGAAAUGCUUAGAUAUCGUCAAGAACACCUAUUGCGAAGGCAGCUAACUAAGCUUAAACUGACGCUGAGGCACGAAAGUGUGGGGAUCAAACAGG
rnacentral:rRNA from 1 species